AGGUGAACCUGCGGAAGGAUCAUUAAAGAGUUAGGGUCUUCCAGGCCCGACCUCCCAACCCUAUGUUUACUCAAACCACCGUUGCUUCGGCGGGUCCGUCUCAGACCGCCGGGGGACUGUCAUAGGUCCUCUGGCCCGCACCCGCCGGUGGCCAAUCUUCACAAACUCUUGAAUAAAACGUGUCCUUGUCUGAGUAUAUGAAAUAAAUUAAAGCAAAAAACUUUCAACAACGGAUCUCUUGGUUCUGG
rnacentral:misc_RNA from 1 species